GAGACUGUUACUUUCUAUUUAAGGAAUCGGUAUGCCGGUUUUCGGGGGACGCUCGUUCACAAAACCUUUCAUUCAUACAUUGGAUUAUUAUUGCUGACUGACCUGGAAGCACGAGGUCGCCGUUCCUUGUGGAGUAAAUUCGUUGGGCUCGCUGCCUGGAUUACUUUUAUCUGAGGACAUAAGCCAGUCAUCAUCUUCUUUGGAUCAUGCUCACGGACUACACAAAUUCCCGCAUUGAUGCUUCAAGCGUUGACAGAUCACUUGGGAGACUAGUGAAUGAUGAGCAGAAACCCAAUGUAAAGAUGAAAAAGAAGUGGAUGGUAUGCCACAUCUUUUUUUAGUGGCCAUUAUGGAUGGAAGGGAAGUUCGAGAGAUUACUUAUGACUAUGGAGGUGUUGACUUGCCAUGACAUUCCUGCCAUGGACAGGAAAUGCCCAAGCCCAUGGCUCCAGCUACAUUCCAGGACCAAGUCGUCUCUCCCACUGCCCCUCCUGAAGAGGUUUGGCAAUACAUUUGUCAACUUAGUUUGACACACAUGAAGUGCUUUAACAUGAUCUGAAGUGAGAGUAUCUUAUUGCCACUGUAUGUGACUAAGCAGUACGCUGCGGUUUUGUAACCUUUGUGUGUGUUUGUGUAUGCUUACUCAUGGUUAAUGAGGCCAUACAUUUCAUAUAUGAGGACCCAAUUUGGGAUGAAACAUUGUGAAGCCAUAGCCUACUGUUUAGUCACAAAGAGUAGCCAU